UGGGGAAUCUUGCACAAUGGGGGAAACCCUGAUGCAGCGACGCCGCGUGAACGAUGAAGCCCUUCGGGGUGUAAAGUUCUUUCGACAGGAACGAUAAUGACGGUACCUGGAGAAGAAGCUGCGGCUAACUACGUGCCAGCAGCCGCGGUAAUACGUAGGCAGCGAGCGUUGUUCGGAGUUACUGGGCGUAAAGAGUGCGUAGGCGGCGAGCCAAGUUUGGUGUGAAAUCUCCCGGCUUAACCGGGAGGGUGCGCCGAAAACUGGUUGGCUGGAGUAUGGGAGGGGGAAGCGGAAUUCCUGGUGUAGCGGUGAAAUGCGUAGCUAUCAGGAGGAACACCUGUGGUGUAGACAGCUUUCUGGACCAAAACUGACGCUGAGGCACGAAAGCGUGGGUAGCAAACA
rnacentral:rRNA from 1 species